ensembl:lncRNA
UGAGUAGAAGUUAUUGAGGACGUGUGAUCUAGUCGUCUCCAUGAGCCUCGUCAUGAGGAACUUCUCUCAGAGCUUCAAAGACCUCAAAGGCUUCUGAUGGAGGAGCAUCUUCCUCCACGCUUCUUCUGAGAGGAGAAGGUUUCUGCCUCACCCCCCUCAUCCCUCACCCCCUCACCCCCUCACCCCCUCACCCCGCUGGCUGCCAGCGAUGAGUCAGCGUGCUGUUAUGUGGAGAGAGAAAAGGUGGAGGAGGAGAGAAGGAGGAGGGGCCUCCUCUCUGAUCCACAUGUGACAUGCGUGUUCACUUUCCCCACCAUUUAUACAUGUAUGUAUUUAUGUGUUUAUACAUGAUAAUCAGAUUACUGAUUCGUAUAGUAGUCAUAAGUACUGUUUCUGACAGCAGUUAUUAUUGUUAAUCUGAAGACUCAUAAAGACUCAAUAAUACAUUAACAACUAGUGUGUAACGCUUAUGUCAUCAAAACAACAUCAGAGGCAUUCUCCAACAGAAGUAGUACUUCAGGCCAUAGUACUUCAGGUUCAUAGUACUUCAGGCUUGUAGUACUUCAGGUUCAUAGUACUUCAGGCUUGUAGUGCUUCAGGCUCGUAGUACUUCAGGCUCGUAGUGCUUCAGGCUCGUAGUACUUCAGGCUCGUAGUACUUCAGGCUUGUACUUCAGGUUCAUAGUACUUCAGGCUCGUAAUACUUCAGGCUCGUAGUACUUCAGGCUUGUAGUACUUCAGGCUUGUAGUACUUCAGGCUCGUAGUACUUCAGGCUCGUAGUACUUCAGGCUUGUAGUACUUCAGGCUUGUAGUACUUCAGGCUCGUACUUCAGGCUCGUAGUACUUCAGGCUUGUAGUACUUCAGGCUUGUAGUACUUCAGGCUCGUACUUCAGGUUCGUAGUACUUCAGGCUGAUACAGGUUCCAAUAGCUACAUCGUCUGCUAGAGAUUUAAGGUGAAAAUGUGCGUUUAAAGGCGCAGUACCUGUCUGUCAGUAUUUAAGCUCCUCCCUCUGAAACAAACACGCUGUUAACGAACGAUACGUCAUUGUAACGCACUUAUUACGCGUUAACGUGGGCAGCGUCGUAAUGAACCUGCUUACUGUGGGAGAGAAGUGGAUGAGCAGCGCAACAACCGUUGCUUCUGCUUUAGACUCACAUCCGGCUCCACCUCCUCCAUCACAGCAUGGAAACACCACCUGCUCCCUGUGUGUGUUUACAGUGACCGCUCUGUGUUUAAAGAACCGUCACGCCAAGAGUUUCCACUGAGGUUUACAGCGUGUGUGUGUGUGUGCGCGUGUGUGUGUGUGUGCGUGUGUGUGUGUGUGUGCGCGUGUGUGUGUGUGUGUGUGUGUGCGGGUGGCUGACUACAACCACAACCUCUAGUUGUUAUCAGCUGGUUGAGGUUCCUUUAAGGCAAACACCCCCACAACCUGUGUGUGUGUGUAUGUGUGUGUGUGUGUGUGUGUGUGUGUGUGUGGUGUGUGUGUGUGUGUGUGUGUGUGUGUGUGUGUGUGUGUGUGUGUGUGUGUGGUGUGUGUGUGUGUGUGUGUGUGUGUGUGUGUGUGUGUGUGUGUGUGUGCGUGUGUGUGUGUGUGUGUGUGUGUGUGUGUGUGGUUGGACCUCACUGGAUCAGAAGCAGCUGUGCUCACAGGACCUGCACCGCUGGGAUGAAACUUGUUGUUUUUGUCAUUUAACAAACAAAGCCGGUGAUUUGAGUCACUUUGUUUACAGUCAUCAUCAUUAUUAUCAUCAGCCCGCUGCCGAUGAUAAUAAUGAUAAUAUGUGUGACUGAUUGCAAUUCAUGAACAAGCAUUCACAGAUUCAAUUGGUUUCUGCACUAACCGCCAAGACAACUUCCUUGUAUGUUUAGCAUAUUUUGGCAAAUAAAUGUUUCCUGAUUCCUGUCAGAGUGAACAGGAACCCGCACCCUCGACCUGGUUCUGGCGUAUGUAUUGGGAUAGAACAUUUAACCUUCUCAUGUCGGACCAUUGUCUAAUAACCUUUGAAUUCCUACUAUCGGAAUCUGCUCCUCUCAGGUUUUUACAGUCAAUGCUUAUCUGAUAGAUAUUUAUCCACAGUCUAUGUUGAUCUCAUAGUAGAUGCUUGUCGGAUAGAACUGUAGCCCCGUUUAAAGAAGCCAUUCCUUCUGCUCUAAGUUCAGUGCCCUGCCUCAAGAUACAAGAAGACUCCUGUGAGAACCUCAGUCCGUCCCAGAUCGAUAAUUUUGUCGAUGCUGCUACAGGCUCUUUGAGAGUGGCGCUGGACGCUAUUGCUCCUCUGGAAAGAAGAAUAGCAACAAGAAGGAAGUCUGCUCCGUGGUACAACCCUCAAACACGGAACCUAAAGCAAACUGUGCGGAAACUUGAACGAUUACGGCGUUCCACCAAAUCAGAAGGAUCUAGGCUAGUUUGGCAAGACAGCCUUAAAACGUAUAAGAAGGCUCUCCGUAACGCAAGAGCAUCUCAUUACUCAUCAUGGUACUAAAGGAACUGCACUCAGCUGGUUUAAAUCCUACUUAUCGGAUCGAUCCCAGUUCGUGUUUGUAAACGGUGAAUCCUCGACGACCAUCAAUGUUGGUCACGGAGUCCCACAAGGUUCUGUACUUGGACCGGGGAAUCUUCGCACCCGGAGCUUUUUACUAUGGCGGCAAAUCUGGUUGAUGCGCGCGCGAAAAUCCAACGAACGUGAACCUUGCUCGCGUCAGUCUGAAUCUGCAUAUCUUGCCAAUAUCUUGAAUAUCUUCAAACUAUGGAGGAGCCUGCGCAUAUCUUACCUCAUUAUUUUGAUUUUCCAAAAAUCGUUUGGUAUUGGAAGUUGGCAAGAUAUUCACAGAUUUGGACUUCAUUUUACUAAUACGGACCGGUCUGCGAGCUGGACGCAUCGGCCUUAAUGUGCCGGUAAUGAUGGUAAGCGAUGGUUGUCAUCUACAGUCCACUACGGUUACAGAGACGUGUGGUUUGUGUUUUAACACCGUUUCAUCUCAUAAUUUAGACUUUCUAUCCCCUUUCUUCAGUGCAGAAAUGGGCUUCUAUAGUUGUGUGAAGGCAUCGCUCCAGCCAAUCCAAAGACGGCGUUUGUAACCAAUCAGAUGUAGAUACCAUGGUGACUGGCUCCGCCCCCUGGUGACUGGCCCCGCCCCCUUACUGUAAAAAAGAACAGCGAGUGCGUAGAAAACAUCUUUGAGCGCGAGCAGAGAUUCACCUCGCGGGGAAGUUCACGUUCCGCGAGCGAGCAAAUCUCUCGCGCGAGACGAACUUUUGCUCGCAGAAGUUUGAUUUACGCGCAUCAGCCUGAUUUGCACUCUCGAAUUUUGACAGUGAUUUGCCGCCAUAUUUUACCCUCAAUAUGCUUCCUUUAGGCGAUCAAAAAACACACAUAAACUUCCAUUGUUAUGCAGACGAUACUCAACUGUAUCUGUCGAUCAAGUCAGACAGGACCGAACAGCUUGCUGGGGAGGCACCGUCUUAUCUCCAUCACAUUGCUGGUACUGCCGUGAUAAACCAACAUUAACAACUCUGCUUCUUUCCCGAAGUCUUUGUGCCUUCCCUCCCCAGAGGCUUCUGUGGACGGAGGUUCUAUCUGAUGGAGGUUCUAUCUGAUGGUGGUUGGCCCUUCAGUGGUCCUGCCCUACACCUGCUUACUACUCACAAUAUUUGAAUUAUUUCUGUUGUAGGAAUUUAAUGUAUUGUACAUCUCUUAUUUAUCAUCAUUGCAGUCUGUCCAUCGGGAGACGGAUCCUCCUCUGACUGUAAAGCCCUCUGAGGUAAAUGUGUAAAUGGCGAUUUUGGGCCAUACGAAAUAAAAUGAAUUGAAUAGAAUUUAAUUGAAAAAUCAGUUUGUAUAUUAAUAAUAUGAUAAUAAAACAGUAUAAUAAAAACAAAAAGGACCCAACCAAACUUACUUGUACUUAUUUAUACUUGAUGGACAACCUUU